GAUGAACGCUAGCGGCAGGCCUAACACAUGCAAGUCGAGGGGUAGCAGGAUUAAGCUUGCUUAAUUGCUGACGACCGGCGCACGGGUGCGUAACGCGUAUGCAACCUACCUUAUACUGGGGUAUAGCCCGGAGAAAUUCGGAUUAAUCCCCCAUAGUACUAAUGAAUCGCAUGGUUUAUUAGUUAAAGCAUUGCGGUAUAAGAUGGGCAUGCGUCCUAGUAGCUAGAUGGUGAGGGAACGGCUCACCAUUGCUACGGUAGGUAGGGGGGCUGGGAGGGUGGUCCCCCAAACAGGUACUUAGACACGGACCAGACUCCUACGGGAGGCAGCAGUGAGGAAUAUUGGUCAAUGGGCGCAAGCCUGAACCAGCCAUGCCGCGUGCAGGAAGAAUGCCCUAUGGGUUGUAAACUGCUUUUAUUUGGGAAUAAACCUCUUUACGUGUAGAGAGCUGAAGGUACCAAAUGAAUAAGCACCGGCUAACUCCGUGCCAGCCGCCGCCGUAA
rnacentral:rRNA from 1 species